AGUGAACGCUGGCGGUAGGCCUAACACAUGCAAGUCGAACGGCGGCACAGGAGAGCUUGCUCUCUAGGUGGCGAGUGGCGGACGGGUGAGGAAUACAUCGGAAUCUGCCCAGUCGUGGGGGAUAACGUAGGGAAACUUACGCUAAUACCGCAUACGACCUUCGGGUGAAAGAGGGGGAUCGCAAGACCUCUCGCGAUUGGAUGAGCCGAUGUCGGAUUAGCUAGUUAGCGGGGUAAUGGCCCACCAAGGCGACGAUCCGUAGCUGGUCUGAGAGGAUGAUCAGCCACACUGGAACUGAGACACGGUCCAGACUCCUACGGGAGGCAGCAGUGGGGAAUAUUGGACAAUGGGCGCAAGCCUGAUCCAGCCAUACCGCGUGGGUGAAGAAGGCCUUCGGGUUGUAAAGCCCUUUUGUUGGGAAAGAAAUCUUUCAGGCUAAUACCCUGGGAGGAUGACGGUACCCAAAGAAUAAGCACCGGCUAACUUCGUG
rnacentral:rRNA from 1 species